rnacentral:rRNA from 1 species
CACCCUGCGUUGGAAGUAAAAGUGGUAACAAGGUUUCACCCACGUAGCCUUUGCAAGCGCGACUCGAAAUAAAUUUGCAAGUCGAUUCACUUCGGCGACACAACCAAACUAUCGGGGAACUCCACGGGCGACCGUGGAUGAUCCGCAGCACUCCCAGCAGUGUUCACAGGCUAAAUGGUUGUGGGUUCAGCAGUUCAAAGCUGCUGGGCUUAAGAUAUAGUCGGUCCCUGUGGUCAAUCACAGAGAGCUAACGUUCCGUAGGUGAACCUGCGGAAGGAUCAUUA